CCAGAAGCAGAAAGGUGCUAUGCUUCCUGUACAGCCUGAAGAACUCUCCUGGCAUUCAAGGAAAUAUAUGUCAAAACACUGGCUGAAGACAAGCUAAAGGAACAGAGACUUCUGCAAACAAUAAGGAAUACAGUAUUUGCAAAAAUAGUUUAGAAAAGUCACUAAAUAAACAACUACAGCCUUCAACAAUCAAACACACACACACACGCACACAACCUUGGAGGAAGAAAGAUCAUCUAAUUUCCAGAAUUAAAACAUUAUAUUAUUCAAAGGUUCACUUUUCAACAAAAAAUUACCAUGCAUAUAAAAAAGAAAAGUAUAGCUCACUCAAAGAAAGAAAAUAAACUGAUAGAAAUGUCCCAGAUAUGAGCCUUACCACAAAAUACUUUAAAGCAAGUGUUCUAAAUAUGCUCAAAAGCUAAAUAUGGUCAAAGAAUAAAGAAAAUCAGGAAUACAAUCUGUGAACAAAAUUAGAAAGAGAAAUUAUAAAAACAAACCACACAAAAAUUCUUCAGAAGAAACGUACAAUAAAUAAAUGUACUACAACUGAAAGAUGUGAGUAUUUCUAGAAGUUUGAUAAACUCAGAGUAGGAGAAACUAACAUGUGGGAAUUCAAGAUGAGAUUUGGGUGAGGACACAGCCAAACCAUAUCAGGCUAUGUGGUCUCUAGACACCAAUUUCUACUCACACCAUCUCUACCUUCUCAUUUCAUUCUUCCCCAUCAUAUUACACAUUUUUACCUUGGGCAGUCUGAGAGGUCAGAAGUGGCACCUUCACCCCGGGACAUUCAUUUCCCUUUCUUUGGUUACCAAAGAGAGGCUACAGUUUUUCUUUGGGUUAGCAGCCAUUCACACAUCUUCUCUGACAAAUUUUCUUUUUGUUGCUUAUGCUCCCCAAACAUCUACCUCCUAAGUCCACUUCUUUUUUCCAUAGUCACUGAUAUUCAUUUCAUCUGUGCUUUGAACAUGCAUGAAAUUAAUACAGAGCAGGAUGUAGAGAUGGGAUGAG
rnacentral:lncRNA from 10 species